GACGGGCGAUGCGAGCGUUGUUCGGAAUCAUUGGGCUUAAAGCGUGUGUAGGCGGCUCGGUAAGUACCUUGUGAAAUCCCCGGGCUCAACCUGGGAACUGCAUUUGUGACUGCAUGGCUAGAGUACGGUAGAGGGGGAUGGAAUUCCGCGUGUAGCAGUGAAAUGCGUAGAUAUGCGGAGGAACACCGAUGGCGAAGGCAAUCCCCUGGACCUGUACUGACGCUCAUGCACGAAAGCGUGGGGAGCAAACAGG
rnacentral:rRNA from 1 species